rnacentral:tRNA from 2 species
GUCUUUGUAGUAUACUAAUUACCCUGGUCUUGUAAACCAGAAAAGGAGAAUCAUCACCCUCCCUAAGACC